AGAGAACUGGCAAAUCCCGCCAAACUGCAAAUGUUCAAUUUAACAUGCGAGAAGAAAGUCUGUACCUCCCAAGAGACAUUUCUGACUUUAAGUAACACAUGUCCCAUUUUCACUAUCAUCGAGCAUGUGCACCAGCUAUGCAACUUCUCUCUUAGAAGUUCUUCUAGCACUUCCACCAAGUGAUUCUCCUACUAACUCUGCACCUCAUUAGCCCUGUGAUCUGGUGAAGUCAUUGGAAUUUCUCUUCAUAUUUAGCUCUUAGGAUGGGAAGGAAACCUAUCGAAAGGAACCUCUUUAUGUAUAAGAAGAUUUCAAGGUUCCUUGGGACCCCAAAUUUCUUUCUCAUUGAUGCCUAACUUCACUUGCUGCCACCAAUCUCUCCUCAUUCUGGUCCUCCACAGAGAGUUACCAGUUUCAUCUUCCAAAGGCACCAAGGGUUCAGGUCCCUUUAGGUUUGGUUUCUGAGUGUGAUAUUCUGCACCUCACUCCCACUACUCAUAUCAUACCACAUGGUCCCAUCUAGAAAGCUCUAUGCAUUUCCAAGGAUGAUUCAUGGGUUACACCCAGCUCAGAUUCCCCCUUCUCCAUGGUAUUGACUGACUCCCUCUUCUGAACUGCCACUGUGCUCCAAUGGUGGGUUUUGCAAUUAAUAAUGCAUCAAAAGGCAUUAUUAGUAUAUACCAGAGGCAGUGUUAUUUCAUAAUACUGGAACGUUUCAUAAAAUCUUCCCAGAAGCCCUGUGGGAUUAUCAUUCCCUUUAUCUUCCAGAUAAGGAAACUGUGGCACACAGAGGCUACAUGACUUGGCUAAGAUAUCAAGGAUCGUGGAUGGCAGAUUUUAUUCAGACUCAGCUGAUCUAAGCCAGGAGUCUGGUCACUCUUGUGAAAACCCCUGCUAUGGUUUGAUGUCUGUGCUGUUAUUUGUAAUGUUGUCGUCCCACUUUUGUAGGCUUAUUCUUGCUCAGCCCAAGGAAAAUAUCAGCUUCUGAAAUCAUGGGCCAUUUCUGAAAGUCUUCAUCAUUUGCAGUGCCUUACACUUUUAGCACUGUAUGAAUAAGAGUCAAUGUUGUUGCUGUUAUUCUUUUCAUUAUCAUUAUUAUGACAGCCAUUUGAUUUUGUUUCAAGCAUUAUCCUCUUCCAACCAUCUCUUUCAAAUUUCAGCUCCUCUUUUUACUCUGAAAUAUCAUUGUGCUUUCCCAAUAACUUUAUGUGGAUUCAUUUAUUAGAUCUGAUGAUCAAAGAAAGAAGCAAUAGAAGGGAUGGGGCAUUUUGAAAGGGCCAGAAGAGGUGAUGUGGUGGCCACUGAAAGCAAGCCACCUACAUCCUAAUUAUCCAUCUACAGCUGGUGCUGCCUAGUGACAUAUUGUUCUUGAUUAAUUGUACCAUCACUAAUAGAAAACAUUAACAAAUGGAUAUUAAUAUUAAUUUGUGAUGAAUAGUCAUUGGCAUGAGUCUCUGUGGCUUGCCUUCUGACCGUCUGAUUUUGUUUUAGAGAAUUUGCAUUUAUGCCUAUGGAGAGCCUUUUGAAGGCCAGGGGAGCCAGUGGUGUGGAGUGCAUAUGGAGAGAAUAAUGUUCAUUAUCUUAUUAAACCCCAGUUCCUCCCAGGGAGGUUAGGAGACAGCUGGCAAAUUUUAUCCCUCAUUUGCAGAUGGAGACUCGUUGGCUUACAGUAAUUCCAUAAUAUGCCUUAAGUCCAGAAGGGAGCAAAUGAAAAGCUAAGAAUGAAUUGUGGACUCUCUGGUCCUGCCUGGCACCUACCUGUAGCUCUUACAGAGGAACACAGGAGCAUGAAGACAAGGACCAGUACAAUUAGACUGCCCAGGACAGAAAAAUGAGCACUUUUAUGCCUCUUUAAAGCAUUUAUUCUUUAUUCCAGCACCUAGGUCCAUCAAAUGCAUUCUAUUAGUCUCUAUAUAGUCACCAAAGAUGUUGAAAGCUCAAUUAUAAUAUACAUGUGCACUGUGCUUUAACGUUUUUUUUUAAAAAAAAACCUAUUUAUGAACAUGAUCUCACUUAAUUCAUAGGGUCUUCAUGUUCACACACCCCUAAUUUUUAUAACCAACUGCCCUUUAGUGCUUAAACUUGGAGAGUAAAAUACUUGCUCAAGUACACCCAGUGUAGUUUUGGAAGAACAAGGAACUUUCCUUGUAUUGCUGCGACAUGGUCUAGGGUGCUCCCCACCACUUUUGAAGUUUCUGUCCCUCUGUUGGCAUCCCUCUUUGCCAUAGAUGCCUCUCACAAAAUGUAGACAAAGGAAGUGUUGGCUGCUGCUGCUGUGAUGAUGAUUGAAAAAUACUCACCUGAAUGACUUCCAUAGGUUUCUUAGUUUUAGUUCUAGCUAAAAUUCUGAACUUCUAGCAUGAACAGGGACUUUGGAACAACACUAGUCUAGCCUGGACAUGGAAGGUAUUCAUUUUCUUCCUCCAGGGAAUUAUUGAGCAUCUACUCUAGCCUCUCCUAGGUGCACAAUGACAGAUAAUAGAAGUUCAACCCAAGCCCAGUCUGCAUGAGGUUCAGUAUAGUGGGCGAUGUGGAAGUAAGAGUAGUCUACUCUAGAUUUUGGCUGGAGUUGUUUAAGUAUUCAUUGAAUCCCAUUCCCUAUAUUUUGGAAAGCCCAUUAUCCUCCCCAGGAGUGUGAAAAUUUCCAAGGAAUUGAUGUUCUUAUUCCUUGUCUGACUCUAAGCAUCUACUUCUACUGAAUUAGUUUAGUUUAGGAAAUUUUCACUGUCAGUAUCACAUUUUCACUAAAACUGAGACUCAGCCCUCUUCUUUAGUUCACACACAACAACAACAACAACAAUUCAUAGCACUGCUUUAGUGAAUGAGCAAAACUUAAUGGCAGUUUUGAGAGAUGGAUAAAAACAUCACAGUAAAUCUGACAACUCCAUCUUCCAAAUAUAUUUGGAAUCUGGCCAUUCUCACCACCUCUAAGUCGCCAUCAUCUCUAGUUUGAUUAUUAACAGCCUCCUAAUUGGUCUCCUGCUUACUCCAGAGUAUUCACCCAGAGUGAUUCUUUUAGAAUAUGAUUUAGAUCAAGUCUUAGUCUGCUCAAAAUCUUCCAAACACUUUGAUCUCUCACUCAGAAUACAGGCCCACAGGGCUACCUGUUCACAAUUCUCACUUCCUUGCUCACCUCAUCUCCAACAUUCUUACACUUGCCACUCUUCCUCAGACCCAGUGGCUUCUAGAAGUUUCCUUGGAAACAACAAGCACACUCCCCGCUGAGGUAUUUGCGUCGUCCUUUCCCUCUGACUGGCUCCUUUCCCCAGAUAUGUGUGACUUGUUCCCUUACUUUCUCCAGAUUUCUAUCUAAUUGUCACAUGAGCAAUGCUCCCUGCCCCACCUUCAAAAGCAGAUCUGAGAACAGUCCCUAGAAUAUAGUAUAUGCUCAGUAAGAACUGCUGGCGAAUAAAUAAAUAGGCUCAAUGUUUAGAUAGAUAUCACACUUCUUAAUAUAUAACCCCUUUACAUCUCAACAGAUUCCUCUUGGCCCUCUCCCUCCCAUGCUGUGUAGCUUUCGAAUAUCACUUUCUCUCUGCCUAUCCGUGGUCACUUCUAUCACACCUGUUCCCCUUCCCUGUCAAUAACAUAUUCCAGCUAUACCACCUAUUACAUGUGAAACCUUAGGAAAGAUAUUUCUUUACUAUACAAUAGGGGUAGGAAUGGUACCUCCAUGAGCACUACUGUGAAAAUAUUGAGUUAAUACAUAAAAUAACCUUAGACCAGGCCUGGCACAUAGUAGGUGCUCAGUAAAGAAGGAAAAGCAAAACAAAAACCUCUUUAUUUUUUAUGCUGAAUAAGUCAAGUCAUUCUGUGUCCUAAAUCUAGCAGAGCUCCAGCCCCAAUUUUGAUUGUACAAACUCAACAAGGUGCUCCUCCACAGAACCAAGAGGGUUUUUGUUUGAGUGGGACCCAACCACUUAGAAAGUAUCUGUGGUUGUAAGGGGGAAUUAAUUUCCCAAUCACACAAGUUCCCACAGGGAAGUAUUCAUGUCAUGUGUAAAGAGUGAUGGGGAUAACACAAAGUCAUAGCCUAGACUAGAGGGAAGGGAAAUCCCCUUUAGGAAGUGUUUGUCUGCAACCUGAAGAAUGACUAGGAAUUGCACAAUCAAGAGAGAGAAUUUCUAGGCCAAAGAAUCUGUGUGAGGAAGCCCAAGGUGUGAGAGCAUGGAGUGUUCCAAGCUCUGAAAAUGGAGCUCAAUUCAUACCACAGGGCCAGAGCAAAAGUUGGUCACCAUAUGAUCCCAUGAAGGUGGUCUGGAGUCAAAUCUUGGAGCUUUGUAAGCUGACUGCAAAUUUUGAUAUUACCUCAAAGGGAAGAAGUAGAACCCAUUGAACAUGUCAGGUUUAAUCAUCAUAGUGUCAGACUUGCCUUAAGAGGAAGAUCACUAUGAAUGCAGAUCAGAAAAGGAAUCUGACUCAUAUGGCAUGUUGAGUGGGUUUAUCUUUAACAACAAGUAAGACUAUUUCCUGGACAUAAUUCUUGAAGGCCAGAGUCAUGAAUCAGGGCUAUUUCUUGGUCACUUUAUUAUUAUACAUAUCCCUCCCUCUAUAAGCCUCUCCACAUUUGUGUUAACCCAAAACCCCAAAGAAGUAUUUGGCAGCUAAUGUGACUGAAUCAAACAAUUCAUGCUACAUUCUAUUAAUUUUGGCAAAUCUUAUUUGUCUUGGUUGUUAAUGGCAGCCAUCCAGAACUGAGUCUGAGGAAAAUAUGUGUAUGUAUGUAUGAAAUUGAUGUAAUUCCACUUGCGCCCCCAGGUUCUUAAGGCAGUGCUCCCAUGAGGAGCUGCUCCAAAUUCUUACCUUUCAUACCCAUGUUCUAUUUAAUUUAAAAUGUUAAUAUGCUUCCUCUUAAGUGUCCUGUUUUUGCCAAAGUGCCUGGGGGAACAUUUCAGCACCUAUCUUGUGUGACCAAAGGUUGCUUUGUAGCCAAGAGCUCCAAAUAUGAGUCUGGAGAGUGGUAUAUGAUAUGAAGAGUUGUGCAUGGACAGGAGAACUGGCUCAAGGUCUAAUCUUCCCAGGGUUAAAUUCAUGGUCAUGGGCAAAUCUCAGCAGCCUCUGAAUUUUGGCAUGCAGAGCAAGGGCUGAACAUUACUUCAAGGGAAAUCUUACCAGGACUUCAACCAGAUAAUUAACACUAAUUAAGGCCCCUCUCACAGUAGGGCUGGGGUCAGAAUCCAGAGAACUGGGCCUCACCUUUCCCACUUUAUCAGCCUCUAAAGUAACACCUCUUGAAACUGAACUCGAGAGGAGGCAGUUUAAAAACUUGGCCAGAUCACCUCAAAGAUCUCAAAGUGUCUUUGGUGGUAUUGGCUGUGAUUUGCUUUCCAGAACAUUAAGUGCAAAAUGAUUUCUCCAAUGUUACUAUUUACCACUGUGCCUACACCAUGGCAACAUCAUGUGAUUUAUGUUUUUAUUAACUCCAUCUCUUGAUCCCUGUGCAAUAUGACUCAACAAAUACUUAUUAAAAGAAUAAUAAUAUGUUAUGUUUGAAUUGUGUUUGAUGGUUUUUUAAACUUUUCCCUUCAUCUUACUUAAACUUCUUAACAAUCUGAGAGCUUCAUAUACAAUUAUCACCUGUCCUGAACAGCAGAGAAAACUGGAAUACGAAGAAUUAGGUGACUUAUACAAAGGCACAGGGUAGAAUUUCACCUUUGUUGUUGCUAUUGUUGUCUGUGUAUGGUGUAUAUAACCUGUUCCAUUUUAUAAAGGAUUUGCAGUAAUUUGGAGAAAAUGAUCUUUCAACAUCUUAUGAUACCUUUGUCUUCUUUUUUGUCUUACAAUAAAAGGAAAUAGGUAAAUAAUUAAAUAUCAGGACUACUGAAAAUUAAAAUUAAAAUAGAAGAUCAAGGCCAGCAGUGAGGGAAGGGAAAGAUAAAUAUGUUAUAGGUCAGUUAAUUCCCUUGAGGAAGAGAGAUGACUUCAGAUAAGCUCUUUCUGCUGCAUGUGCAAGGCUUGUUCUAAACCCCCAUACCUGCCUUUCAUCACAGUGCACUGCUCUGGUGCAAUUUCCAAUAUAGAGAUAGCAAAUCUCCAUUUUCACCUGCUAAUGAGGACAUAUGUGACUGCAUUAUUGAGGGCCUCAAUUUUAAAAUGGUCCUAUUUCUCCCAAUAAAUAAUAUCCAGUGCUGCUCCCCUAAGCCCCCUGCCCUGCAGGAUAAUCUGUUCUUUGAACGAAAACUCAGUUCAGGUCCAUAGACUUUUCAUCUCUUUGGAGUAUUAGAAUAAUUUUACACUGGUUCUUCAGGAUUUGGUCUUCCUAAACCUACAUCUCACUCUUGAUUUAUGUCCUGCCUCCUUGUCCAUGGAGGACCGGUUUCAUAGGUGUCUCCCAGGUCCAGGUAGAUGUGGGGGGUGGGAGUCUCUCACUCCUCACCUCCCUCUUCUGGAGCCUGCCACUCUGUACCAGGUGUCCAGUGUCUGGAUCAACUCUGAGGCUCAUUUACUCAUACUCAGACAGGCCCAUGCAGACCUCCUACUGCACAACCCCCUGAAGUGGGUUUCCAGAAUGACCUCUUCAUUGUGUCUCUCAUGAUCCCACACAUGGCCCAUUCUAUACAUUUUUGCUCCCAAGAUUGCUUUGCCCAGAAGGCAGCCCACUGAGGCAUUGGGGGUAGAAUUCACACCAACCAGAGGCUUCAGCCCAGACAGCAGCAACACUGAGGCCUGAUCCCCAAGACAGCAGGUGCCUCUGCAGGAUGCCCCACUGGUACCACUCUCGUGGCUCUGCCCUCUCUCUCCUGAUUCUGUACUCAUUCUAGAGUCAUUAAGCGUUCUAAUGAUUCACUAAUUUUUACAGUUUUCUGGCAAGAAACAAUUAUUAAUCUUCAACUCAGAGGAAAAGAAGGACACAGGCACUUGAAAUAUAUAUAGAAAAGUGAGAGGGAGAGACCCUCUUUCCAAACUGUGCUCCCCCAGAGACAUCUUUCUCCUCUCCCAUCAAGGCUGGAGAGGGGAGAAGAGGGUUGUGCUGGUUGAGGUGGUUUCUCUCAAAUAGACCCUCUCUGGAAGCACUUUCAGGGGAUGACUGGUUCAAAAAAUAUAGAGGGUGCACUGGGUACAAAAAUCAGGAAAAGUUCAGUGAUAAAGGAACUGCAUCCUGUUACAAAUGCCAGGAAGUAAAUAUUAAAUUACCUUGGAGCUCCCAUCCUGGCACAACAGAAACAAAUCCGACUAGGAACCAUGAUGUUGCAGGUUCGAUCCCUUGCCUCGCUCAGAGGGUUAAUGAUCUGGCGUUGCCAUGAGCUGUGGUAUAGGUCACAGAUGCGGCUCGGAUCUGGCAUUGCUGUGGCUGUGGCGUAAGCUGGCAGCAGCGGCUCCAAUUAGACCCCUAGGCUGGGAAACUCCAUAUGCCGUGGGUGUGGCCC
rnacentral:lncRNA from 1 species